ACCAUCACGGCGUCUCUCCUUUCCGUAUCGGUUGCGAGGGCAAAACACGGCAGUAGCUAUCUAUCUGAUAUUCCCAACUCCUGAGGCAAAGAGGCGCUAGGGUUUGGGUUCGUGAAAUCUGUGAGGCAUCUCUCUCCACAGCUCUAAUGGCGUUAAGGAACUUCUACAACGAGAUCAGAGGAAUGAAAGUGAAGGACCUCCCUACGCAUCUGAAGCCUAUGUUCUCUGUCGAUUACGUGAAGAAGUCAAUUAGUAGAGGCUUGGAUAAUUACCAUGCCAAAUACAUCCAGACCAGCUCGAUCGAUCCUCUCUUCCAUGUCUGCUUCGGUGGGAUGAUCUUCUCUUACCUCGUCGCUCUUCCCGAAGAGCGUCGCCACCUCGAACACCAGCAACAUGCGAAGGAGCAUGGCGGACAUUAAGCCUCUCCGGUCGAUCGGUAUGUUUGAUCAAGGUAAAGCAUGGGGGUACAAUCAAGGGCACCAACAGGUUUGCAGGCGUUUGAUUUGGUCAAGAUCAUUUUGUUUGGUGAAUUUUCAUUUUCCCCAUUGCUUUCUGGAUAUUAUAGGUAGAAAGUCUUGUUCAGAAUGAUGAAGCAGUAUUUGACUGUUGAAAUAAAAUCCAAUUAACUAUGAGAAUUGGUCUCUUCCUAUCUUAUAUGGUUCAACUGUUAAGGUUGGUUAAAUUGUGCAUUACAUUCCGAUGCACGUUAUCAUAAAAAUGUUGUCAUUUUUGUUCUGCAUGCUA